rnacentral:lncRNA from 1 species
CACAGCACCACCAAAGGCGCCAACCACCUCCAAACUCUGCGAAACACCAGAUGGCUCCCAACUCCAACCAGAUCAGAUCCGAACGCUCCAAGGGAGAGAGAAGGGGUGGGCCGCAAGAAGGAGGGGAUAUGAGGGCAAAGGAAGAGUGGUCAGAAGAAUGGUGGAGGACCGAGCAGACCCAACAUCCAAAAACCACCCCAACACACCAACAAGAUCCGAAAGCCUUUUAAUCCCAAGUCACCCCACUGCAGAUCAAAACUCCUUAAACCAAACCUCAUUUCCCCUUACUAGU